rnacentral:rRNA from 1 species
CCCUUAGAUGUUCUGAGCCGCACGCGCGCUACAAUGGCAGACUCAGCGAGUUACCUCUGUCGAAAGGCACAGGGAAUCUUUACAGUAUCUGCCGUGAUGGGGAUAGACCCUUGUAAUUUUUGGUCUUCAACGAGGAAUUCCUAGUAAACGCAAGUCAUUAACUUGCAUUGAUUACGUCCCUGCCCUUUGUACACACCGCCCGUCGCACCUACCGAUUGAAUGGUCCGGUGAAGUCCUCGGACCCAGUUGAACCUCGAGUUGAACAGGGAAAGUUGACUAAAUCUUACCAUUUAGAGGAAGGUGAAGUCGUAACA